AGGAGUAAGAACAACAGGGAUUGCCCCAGUAACGGCGAGUGAAGCGGCAACAGCUCAAAUUUGAAAUCUGGCCCCCGGGUCCGAGUUGUAAUUUGCAGAGGAUGCUUCGGGCGAGGUGCCUUCCGAGUUCCCUGGAACGGGACGCCAUAGAGGGUGAGAGCCCCGUCUGGUCGGACACCGAGCCCGUGUGAAGCUCCUUCGAAGAGUCGAGUAGUUUGGGAAUGCUGCUCAAAAUGGGAGGUAUAUGUCUUCUAAAGCUAAAUAUUGGCCAGAGACCGAUAGCGCACAAGUAGAGUGAUCGAAAGAUGAAAAGCACUUUGAAAAGAGGGUUAAAAAGUACGUGAAAUUGUUGAAAGGGAAGCGCCCAUGACCAGACUUGGGCCCGGUGAAUCACCCGGCGUUCUCGCCGGUGCACUUUGCCGGGCACAGGCCAGCAUCAGUUUGGCGCGGGGGAUAAAGGCUUCGGGAAUGUGGCUCCCUCGGGAGUGUUAUAGCCCGUUGCGCAAUACCCUGCGCCGGACUGAGGUACGCGCAUCGCAAGGAUGCUGGCGUAAUGGUCAUCAGCGACCCGUCUUGAAACACGGACCAAGGAGUCGUCUUCGUAUGCGAGUGUUCGGGUGUCAAACCCCUACGCGGAAUGAAAGUGAACGCAGGUGAGAGCUUCGGCGCAUCAUCGACCGAUCCUGAUGUUCUCGGAUGGAUUUGAGUAAGAGCAUACGGGGCCGGACCCGAAAGAAGGUGAACUAUGCCUGUAUAGGGUGAAGCCAGAGGAAACUCUGGUGGAAGCUCGCAGCGGUUCUGACGUGCGAAUCGAUCGUCAAAUAUGGGCAUGGGGGCGAAAGACUAAUCGAACCUUCUAGUAGCUGGUUUCCGCCGAGUUUUCCCUCUCAGGAAGUU
rnacentral:rRNA from 1 species